AAUUAUUUUAUUUUAGGAAAUUAGGGAAUGAAAAGUGAAGAAAAAUUAAUAGCCAACGUAAAAUGUUGUAUUUCUAUUUAACGGUAUUUAUUUUUUAGUUUGCUUCACUUGUUGAGGCCUGUGUCAUAGGCCUAGAGUGAUUAGAAAAAAAAACACCUCCUACUAGGUGAAAAAAACAACAACUUUAACUGUAGGUUCAUUAGAGUUAGAACAUAUGGUGGCUGUAUAAUUUAAUAAUAUAUUUUUUUUAAAAAAAGGUGAUAAACGUGUCAAAUUGUGUGUGUGUGUGUGGGGGGGGGGUAGUCGCCCAGGGCCUAGUUGUCUGAGGUUGAGUAAUGAAGAGUGUGUUUGUUUUCGGGGAGCCUUGCAGAGACAGCGUCUCGUUCGGAUGGGACGAAAAACCGAGGUCCUGUGUACACCUUGGCGUACACGUAAAAGAACCCUUGCCAGUUGGAAUUCAAUUCCUGUCCGAGAAAAAUUUCCCUUAUACUUAUAGCACACUGUAUGGCGUAUGACCGUCUUCAUUAGGCCUAUCCCGGUAGGACGUUAAACCCCAUUUCAUUCAUUAAUUCAUUAAUUUGUUUGUUUUCGCUUGUUCAGCUGAACUUGUUUGUGUUUAGAAAAAUAUUUAUGACAUGAAAAUUUAUUAUAUAUCUUAAGUUUCUUAUAAAGAUUUAGUCUAAAGGGUUUCUUUUAUUUAAAAAUGACUCGAUUGUUAUUGACAUUUACAUUGGCAACUGAGCUUGCUUGACCCUACACCCUAACCCAGACUUGCUAGAGAAGAAUGGACCGAUUUUUGAUAGGUAGGCCUACAGUUGUUGAUAAAUCAAUCUAACCUAUGAAACGCUAUUCCACUACCCUUUUUUCGGGUGUUUGAGCAGCCAAAACAGCAGCAACUUUCUGGCAUAUUGAUUCUAAAACACAAUUUAAAAAAUCUAAUGGUCGUCAGCGUCAACUCCCCGGAACUAACAUGGCGGACAAGGCCCCAUAUCGGCACGCUGUCACGUGAUCAGUGCAGACUCUAGUUUAGUUUCUAUAUAUAACUCUAUGCUAUAGCCUAAUUCCAAUGGAUCCUUGUAUCGCUUGCCGUUACACCGUGCGUCCGAGACAAGAAGGUCUCCAGUGUGAAGAGUGUAAUCUAUGGCAGCAUAGAAAAUGUACAGGUAUGUAUUUAUAAUUUCACAGAUUUUGCUUGCUUUCAUUAUUAUUGAAAUAAAUCAUAAGUAUUGAAAUAAUUACACGAGUUUUGCUAGCUAUACAUACUCAAACUUAUAUUCAUAAAAUAUUUAACCCAUUCACUAAAUUUUAAAUAAUUUUUGUUCUCUUUAGAUAUAUCCCAGGCAGCAUAUAGAAGAGCGGUGAAAGGGUUAGAAGAGAUUAAAUGGACAUGUACUCCUUGUAUAAAUGCCGCUAUUCCUGUUGCUGUUCAUGAAAUUACCGCUACUUUCGACGAAGAAGAACCUAUGGAUACUAGUGUUGGACGUGAACAAGAAGAAUUGCCUCUUAUGGAGACCAGUUCCGAGGCUGUCCCUCUGGAAAGAUCCUUCGUUUUACCCGAACCAAUACUGGAUGAUUCGAUUGACGACGAUGCUCCCGUCUUUGAUGUACCCGCAGCUGAGGGCCCCCGUUACAUCAUUCUCGAAGGUGGUACCGAGAGGGGAAACGUGAAGUUGCUGGACAUGGAGGAUUACUCCUACAUCUUUAGGCUAAUGGAAACAUAAAUUGGCGCUGUGUUCACCAUCCGAAAGUGGACUACUGUCGGGCGACAGUAAUACAGGCAGGGGAUGACUUUCGUCCAGGUUUGAAGAACCACAACCAUCCCCCCCAGCCCUUUCUACAUAUUGCCGUCCAGAUAAAGGCACAAGUCCGUAAGAAUUCCGAAAAGGACGUCUUUACCACGUCGUCAGCCCAGGUAGUUGAAGAGAUCUUGCUAGACCUGACAUCCGAGACGGCUCCUUUUCACAGCAGACCCAAAAUGUCCACAUUGGUCCGGAGUGUCAAUCAUUAUCAUUGAAUAACACACAAUUAAACUAUUUUUUUUUAUUUUCUUAUUUAUAGAUCGAAACAAAAUUUGUAGAAAUAAAUAUGGGUAAUUUUUUAAGAAAAGAUAUCAAAGAUGGUACCAACAGGCAUCUGGUUUUAGCCACUGAUAACCAGUUGCAGCUGUUAAGUAAAAUGAAGGUCCUUUUCGUCGACGGCACUUUUCGGGUUGUGAAAAAGCCUUUCACUCAGCUCUUUUCGAUUCAUGGCUUUAUUACUAAAGGCUCGAUGACUAAACAAGUUCCAUUGGUAUAUUGUUUGAUGUCAAACAGAAGCAAGGCAGAUUACUGCAAGGUUUUUGAAGCUAUUAAGGAGUUGUGUCCAGUUUUAGCUGUACGAGAAUUCGUGGCUGACUUCGAAAUAGCUACAUGGCAGGCCUUGAAGGAUACCUUUCCAGGAACAGCCAUUAAAGGUUGUGUUUUCCACUGGUCGC